rnacentral:rRNA from 1 species
CACGUAGGGCGCAAGCGUUGUCCGGAAUUAUUGGGCGUAAAGAGCUCGUAGGCGGUCUGUUACGUCUGCUGUGAAAACCCGGGGCUUAACCCUGGGCUUGCAGUGGAUACGGGCAGACUAGAGGCAGGUAGGGGAGAAUGGAAUUCCCGGUGUAGCGGUGAAAUGCGCAGAUAUCGGGAGGAACACCGGUGGCGAAGGCAGGUCUCUGGGCCACUACUGACGCUGAGAAGCGAAAGCAUGGGGAGCGAACAGG